UCUCCGCGGGCGGGAAGGGGUUAACGGAGGGGGCGUGGCUUGCGAGACGGCGCGGCGAGAACCAAUCAGCGGCCGGGGCUGUGCGCUGCGCUGCCGUCUCGCAGCCAAUUGCGCAUGCGCGUGUUCGUGCGGUAGCGCUGCCCUGUGCGUUUCUCUGGGUUUCCGGUGCGGUCCCGCAGGAGCAGCGCUGUGUCCUGGGCUGCGCACGGCAGCAGACCCAGCACUUCUUCGUGAGGCACAGGGCUGAGCUGAUCCUGUCCCUGUUCAGGUACGCACAUUGACUUCUGCCUCGCAGCUGGAACCUGAGCAGAAGAGGGAGGAGAAUGGGAAAACCCAAUCCCAAACCCAUCCCAAACAGACCCUGGAACAGAUCCCACCCAGACAGACGGACGCACAGACUGACCAGUUGGUGAAGGCGCUGCCAUCGGCCCAUGUCCAGCGCUCGUCCCCUUCUUCCCUGUGCAGCCCAAUCCAACAGUUUGCCGGGCCCUGGUACCGCAGCAUGAAUUCCUGUGAGCAAAGCCACGUGUGACUGGAGCCUGUUGGUUGGAGCACUUUCCCCCACAGCUCAGGCCCCACCUCGCUGCAAGGCGCUGCCCUUGGAGCGCUGCGAUGCUGUGCUGGGAAUGGCGUGGACAAAGACCUCCCCCUGGAGCUGCGCGGCUCAGGACAGCGCCGGGUGGGUGCAGGGAGGGGGCAGAUGAGGAUGGGACACUGUCCCUGUGCAACCUGGUGCUUUCCUGAAAGGCAUCUCCUCGUGGCUUUGGCAUGGGGCAAAAUGGGGGCACCGGGAGCAGUUGGUGCAGCCCCAGAAGUAUGGGUUUCUCACAGAGUCACAGAAUUGUAAGGCUUGGAAGGGACCUCCAGAGACCAUCGAGUCCAACCCCCCUGCUAAAGCAGGUUCCCUACAGCAGCAUGUUCCAGUGCUCAAGCCCCUGUGUUGGCACUGGCACAGGCCCCGCUCUUACCAUCUCCUCCCUGGUGUCUAUGGUGGCCAAGGAAGCUCUGAGGCGCUCGCAGUGCUCCCUGCUGCUGUUCCAGUCACUCUUCGUGUUGGAAAAACAAUGGCAUUUCCCUUGGAAACCAACCCAGGUGUUGGGGCACACAUUGGAAAUUUCUGGGCGAGGUGGGCGGUGGAGCACUGACAGGCAGAGAGUUGGGCAAAUGAGAGGCAAAGAGCAGAAAAAAUUGCAUUUUUGUUCUGAA